rnacentral:rRNA from 1 species
CGCGUAGUUAGCCGGGGCUUCUUACUCAGGUACCGUCAUUUUCUUCCCUGCUGAUAGAGCUUUACAUCACGAAUGACUUCUUCACUCACGCGGCGUUGCUGCAUCAGGGUUUCCCCCAUUGUGCAAUAUUCCCCACUGCUGCCUCCCGUAGGAGUUUGGGCCGUGUCUCAGUCCCAAUGUGGCCGUUCACCCUCUCAGGCCGGCUACUGAUCGUCGCCUUGGUGGGCUUCUACCCCGCCAACCAGCUAAUCAGACGCGGAUCCAUCUUACACCACCGGAGUUUUUCACACUGAGCCAUGCGGCUCUGUGCACUUAUGCGGUAUUAGCACCUAUUUCUAAGUGUUAUCCCCCAGUGUAAGGCAGGUUAUCCACGCGUUACUCACCCGUCGCCACUAAGUUACGAAUCACUAGGUUCAUCGUAACUCCGUUCGACUUGCAUGUGUUAGGCACGCCGCCAGCGUUCAUCCUGAGCCAGGAUCAAACUCU